rnacentral:ncRNA from 1 species
UAAUUGUAGAGACAAGGAACUACAUGAAAACACGGGGCGUUUCUGAAAAGCCAAAUGAGUAAGAGAAAA